AAUGAACGCUGGCGGCAGGCCUAACACAUGCAAGUCGAACGGAUCCUUCGGGAUUAGUGGCGGACGGGUGAGUAACGCGUGGGAACAUACCCUUUGGUACGGAAUAGCCUCGGGAAACUGGGAGUAAUACCGCAUGUGGUCGAGAGACGAAAGAUUUAUCGCCAAAGGAUUGGCCCGCGUUGGAUUAGGUAGUUGGUGGGGUAAUGGCCUACCAAGCCGACGAUCCAUAGCUGGUUUGAGAGGAUGAUCAGCCACACUGGGAUUGAGACACGGCCCAGACUCCUACGGGAGGCAGCAGUGGGGAAUCUUAGACAAUGGGGGAAACCCUGAUCUAGCCAUGCCGCGUGAUCGAUGAAGGCCUUAGGGUUGUAAAGAUCUUUCAGGUGGGAAGAUAAUGACUGUACCACCAGAAGAAGCCCCGGCUAACUCCGUGCCAGCCGCCGCAGUAA
rnacentral:rRNA from 1 species